rnacentral:rRNA from 1 species
UAGUCUCGCACAGAUGCAUAUCAAUAAGCGGAGGAAAAGAAACUAACAAGGAUUCCCUAGUAACGGCGAGUGAAGCGGGAAGAGCUCAAAUUUGAAAUCUUAAAGGGUUUCCCUUUACGAAUUGUAGUUUAAAGAAGUGUUUUCUGUUGAGGUUUUGGUAAAAGUUCUUUGGAAUAGGACAUCAUAGAGGGUGAGAAUCCCGUAUUUGACCUUUACUUUCAACUUUGUGAUACACUUUCAAAGAGUCGGAUUGCUUGGGAAUGCAGUCCAAAAUGGGUGGUAAAUUUCAUCUAAAGCUAAAUAUUGGCGAGAGACCGAUAGCGAACAAGUACCGUGAGGGAAAGAUGAAAAGAACUUUGAAAAGAGAGUUAAACAGUACGUGAAAUUGUCAAAAGGGAAGUGUUUGACACCAGUGUUGUUUUUCUGAAAAUCAAUUAAAGAACUGUUUAUGCUAAGCUGUUUAGACUUUAUCAGCUAACUGUUUAGUUUUGAGCUUUUCUUUAAUGCACUUUUCAGUUAACAAGUCAACAUCAAUUUCUUUUGCUGUAAAAAAGCUUGAGGAAGGUGGCUUGAGAUUCGUCUUAAGUGUUUAUAGCCUCUUGCCUAUGCAGUCGGAGAGAUUGAGGUCUGCAGCGUAGAUCCUUCGGGGCUAAAUGCAUUUGUGCUAAGUUAUAGCAUUUUAUAGACAACUUGUUGACUAUGAUUUGUCUUGUAGCUUACUCGCUUAUGUUAUUUUACCUACGCUUAGGAUGUUGAACUACUGAGACAUAGA